AGUGAACGCUGGCGGUAGGCCUAACACAUGCAAGUCGAACGGCCGCACAGUAAGAGCUUGCUCUUACGGGUGGCGAGUGGCGGACGGGUGAGGAAUACAUCGGCAUCUACUUUUUCGUGGGGGAUAACGUAGGGAAACUUACGCUAAUACAGCAUACGACCUACGGGUGAAAGCAGGGGAUCUUCGGACCUUGCGCGUUUGAAUGAGACGAUGUCGGAUUAGCUAGUUGGCGGGGUAAAGGCCCACCAAGGCGACGCUCCGUAGCUGGUCUGAGAGGAUGAUCAGCCACACUGGAACUGAGACACGGUCCAGACUCCUACGGGAGGCAGCAGUGGGGAAUAUUGGACAAUGGGCGAAAGCCUGAUCCAGCCAUACCGCGUGAGUGAAGAAGGCCUUCGGGUUGUAAAGCCCUGUUGUUGGGAAAGAAAAGCAGCAGGUUAAUACCCCGCUGUUCUGACGGUACCCAAAGAAUAAGCACCGGCUAACUUCGUG
rnacentral:rRNA from 1 species